rnacentral:rRNA from 1 species
GUAACUGCGAGUGAAGGGGGAUUAGCCCAGCACCGAAGCCUGUGGCCAUUUGGCUGCUAGGCAAUGUGGUGUUUAGGUUGUCUCUUGGCAUUACUGCUCCAUCCUAAGUCCAGCACUGAGUAUGGCAUCUGGAGUGGCCCAUGGAGGGUGAAAGGCCCGUGGGGGUGGAGAUCAAGUCGGCCAGUUUUGCCCUGAGUAGACCUUGGAGUCGGGUUGUUUGUGAAUGCAGCCCAAAGCGGGUGGUAAACUCCAUCCAAGGCUAAAUACUAGCACGAGUCCGAUAGCGAACAAGUACCGUGAGGGAAAGUUGAAAAGUACUUUGAAGAGAGAGUAAACAGUGCGUGAAACCGCUCAGAGGUAAACGGGUGGAGUUGAACUGUAAGCUCCGGGGAUUCAGCUGGUGAGUGUGUCGUGGGCUUGGUCAUUUUCGGCCGGCCUCUGGAGUCCGCUUAGCUGCGGGUCCCUGCUCUUUCGGGAGUAGGGGUGCGCGUCGCGCUUGUCAAGCGCUGUGCGCUCUGGAGGUUGCCGGGCUGGCUCGCCAGUGCACUUUCUCGGAGUGGUCACCACGACCGGCGUUGUUGUCUUGCUGCUGUGGUCGAACCGGUCAGAUUUGGUCCUUGUGGCUGAACUUGAUCGGGAUGGCAGGUAGCUCAUUGGUUGGCUUGUCCAGUCUUUGGGUGUAAUCAGCUGGCCGCAGUGGUAGUGUGCAAUGCGUCGGAGACAGCGGCUCGAGGUAUGUGCUUGUGUUCCGUUGGUUGGCGGUAUCGGGUUUGGCUAGCGUGUUACCUGCUUCGGUGGGUCCGUGGUGGCUCGUGCUGUUUGGCUAGCGGUUGCACUUGUGAUACCG